UACGUAGGCAGCAAGCGUUGUUCGGAGUUACUGGGCGUAAAGAGUGCGUAGGCGGUGUCGAAAGUUUGGCGUGAAAUCUCCCGCUUAACUGGGAGGGUGCGCCGAAAACUGCGGUGCUGGAGUGUGGGAAAGGCAAGCGGAAUUCCUGGUGUAGCGGUGAAAUGCGCAGGAUAAUCAGGAGGAACACCGGUGGCGAAGGCGGAUCUCUGGGCCAUUACUGACGCUGAGGAGCGAAAGCGUGGGGAGCGAACAGG
rnacentral:rRNA from 1 species